rnacentral:lncRNA from 1 species
AAGGAGGAAGUCUAUAUCUCGUGUGCAGGAGGGAGACACCAGAUCUGUCCAACUGCUGCCUUCUGCACAGGUUCUUAGGACUGGGAUGUGAACUCUCAUAUGACGUGGCCUCUUCUGUGAGAGAAGAAAGAGUUGAGGCUGAGCUGUGGAUUCAGGUCAGAUGAGGAGAGAAGGUGCCAACACGAUGCAUGGGGUGGAAGACAAUGCUGAG